rnacentral:rRNA from 1 species
ACUUGAAUAUUAAUAGUUAUAGGCUUUAAAUUCAAAGAAUUUGGCGGUAUUUUAGUCUUGUUAGAGGAACCUGUUCUGUAAAUGAUACUACACGAAGAAUCUUACUUACUUUUGUCUUUCAGCUUGUAUACCGUCAUUAUUAGAUAACCUUUAUUGAGGGAGUUAUUGUGGUGUAAUAAGUUAAAUAUAUUAGAUCAAGGUGCAGCUAAUGGGUAAGAAGAAAUGGGUUACAAUAAAAUUUAUUUAAACGUAUUGAUAGUUGAAUAUAUUAUCAUGAAGGAGGAUUUAAUUGUAAUGUAAAUUUAAUAAGUUAAUAUGAUAUGAGAACUAAAAUAUGUACACAU